CCCUACGGGGGGCAGCAGUGGGGAAUAUUGGACAAUGGGGGGAACCCUGAUCCAGCGACGCCGCGUGAGUGAAGAAGUAUUUCGGUAUGUAAAGCUCUAUCAGCAGGGAAGAAAGAAAUGACGGUACCUGACUAAGAAGCCCCGGCUAACUACGUGCCAGCAGCCGCGGUAAUACGUAGGGGGCAAGCGUUAUCCGGAUUUACUGGGUGUAAAGGGAGCGUAGACGGCGAUACAAGUCUGAAGUGAAAGCCCGGGGCUCAACCCCGGGACUGCUUUGGAAACUGUGUUGCUGGAGUGCUGGAGAG
rnacentral:rRNA from 1 species